GGUGUUCCAUUGGUUCCAGAGGGUUUCCGAUCAUGGUUUCAAAUUUAAAUACAUGCUCAAGCAUUUGGUGAAUCAAGUAGGUUGUGUGAAGCUAAGUCCCAGCCAUGCAAGUAUGGAAGCAUAAGUGUAAUCUUGAAUGUGUGAGCAGUCCCAAGGAAGACAAUGGGAAUAUUCAUUUUCUGAAAGAACAAGCAAUAACUGGAUUAAAAAUAAAAGGCUGCACUCUUCCCUUACUUACACUAAUGUAAGUCUGAUGUAUUUCCACUGUACAGUAUGUCCAAUAUGAAAAGACAAUACAGGAUUUGAAUUCUU